rnacentral:sRNA from 1 species
AAAAUUUGAAUUCAGCUCGCCGGGGGCUUUUAAAUAAGUAUAAUCAUGAUUAGG